AGCAGCCGCGGUAAUUCCAGCUCCAAUAGCGUAUAUUAAAGUUGCUGCAGUUAAAAAGCUCGUAGUUGAAUUUCGGGAUCAAUAUGUUGGUCGUGCCUUGGUGCGUACUAGUUUAUUGAUUUCUCCCUUCUGACGAACUAUGAUGCCAUUAAUUUGGUGUCAUGGGGAAUCAGGACUGUUACUUUGAAAAAAUUAGAGUGUUUAAAGCAGGCUCACGCUUGAAUACAUUAGCAUGGAAUAAUAAAAUAGGACGUUUGAUUCUAUUUUGUUGGUUUCUAGGAUUGACGUAAUGAUUAAUAGGGAUAGUUGGGGGCAUUAGUAUUCAAUUGUCAGAGGUGAAAUUCUUGGAUUUAUUGAAGACUAACUACUGCGAAAGCAUUUGCCAAGGAUGUUUUCAUUAAUCAAGAACGAAAGUUAGGGGAUCGAAGACGGUCAGAUACCGUCGUAGUC
rnacentral:rRNA from 1 species